UUACCCUUCAUCUUCAACAACGACAAAAAUAUGUUACAAUCUCCCAAACACAAAGCAUCGGAGGGGGCAAGCUCUACAAGCGAAGCAAGAAAAACACAAAAAAGAAAAGCACAAGAACAGGAAACUCCCCAAAAACAAACCCCAAAAAACCAAAAAAACAAAAAACAAAAAAAUAAAGAAGAAAAUCAUAACCCGAGAAAAGAUGCUCCGUGCCUUCCUCCCACCAGAGGGCUUAGUCUGCAACAACAACUCUUUAUUUAGCUGUGAAAACCAAUCUGACAUGAACAAUAUAUAAUCUUUUCAAACUUAUUUUAGACAUAUAUCGGACAUAUCUCUUUUAUAUUCUCCAAAUUUCAUAUCUAGGCCUUUCAAAUAAAUUUUAACAUCU
rnacentral:sRNA from 1 species